GUCUGUGCGCAGUGGCAGUAUUGUAGUCGAUGAGGUUUAUCCGUAGCGCGAUUAUUGCUAAUUGAAAACUUUUCUUAAUACCCCUCUACGCCGGCUUGCAACACAGUCGGUGUCGGCAAUUUUUGCGAGCUCUUUCGAGAG